UACGUAGGGUGCAAGCGUUGUCCGGAAUUAUUGGGCGUAAAGAGCUCGUAGGCGGUCUGUCGCGUCGGCUGUGAAAUCCCGAGGCUCAACCUCGGGUCUGCAGUCGAUACGAGCAAACUAGAGUGUUGCAGGGGAGACUGGAAUUCCUGGUGUAGCGGUGAAAUGCGCAGAUAUCAGGAGGAACACCGGUGGCGAAGGCGGGUCUCUGGGCAACAACUGACGCUGAGGAGCGAAAGCCAGGGGAGCAAACGGG
rnacentral:rRNA from 1 species